rnacentral:lncRNA from 1 species
UCCUUCCGGCAGAGAGCCGGAAGUCCACUCCUCUGUGCUUCUCCUGCCUCCGUGAGCAGUGGUGGCCCAGGGAAGUGACACAGAGAAAAAGCGGAAGAUGUCAAGUUCCCUUGUUGUUUCUGUUAAAAUUUUUUGAUGUUCUUCGAUAUAGAAACCUAGUCUUUGUGACUCAGAACCACUUGUCCGAGGCAGGUUUCCCGGCACUUUCCCUCCGUGCCCUGGCUUCCGGUUCUGCUUGGAGACUCUAGCGCACCUGAGCCUGCACGGAAGUGAGAGUCAGUUCUCUGGAUGGCCUGGGUCAUCACUCACCUCCCACUGUGGACCAGUACAGCCCUUCACGGUCCUCUAGGUCGCUGGAUGCUUAACUCUUCAGCCUGGAUGACCUCUGUUUGCCACCCAGACUCUGCUUCCCAACAUCAAAAGGAAACAAAGCAUCACCAGUUAAAGAAGCGACUUUCUUCACUCCUCUUAGUACCAAAGGACACCUAUGGUCAUCAGUGGAGUGAGAGAAAAUACAGGAUCAGGUAGAGAUGCAGGAUGAGCAUUUCCAGUGUAGAAAACUGAACACUGACAAGGUGCUAUGCUCAGAAGAUUCUACUCCUGUCUCCUGAGACGGAUCUUAGGGUUAAAAUGCAGGGG